UCGUAACAAGGUUUCCGUAGGUGAACCUGCGGAAGGAUCAUUACCGAGUGCGGGUCUUUAUGGCCCAACCUCCCACCCGUGACUAUUGUACCUUGUUGCUUCGGCGGGCCCGCCAGCGUUGCUGGCCGCCGGGGGGCGACUCGCCCCCGGGCCCGUGCCCGCCGGAGACCCCAACAUGAACCCUGUUCUGAAAGCUUGCAGUCUGAGUGUGAUUCUUUGCAAUCAGUUAAAACUUUCAACAAUGGAUCUCUUGGUUCCGGCAUCGAUGAAGAACGCAGCGAAAUGCGAUAACUAAUGUGAAUUGCAGAAUUCAGUGAAUCAUCGAGUCUUUGAACGCACAUUGCGCCCCCUGGUAUUCCGGGGGGCAUGCCUGUCCGAGCGUCAUUGCUGCCCUCAAGCCCGGCUUGUGUGUUGGGCCCUCGUCCCCCGGCUCCCGGGGGACGGGCCCGAAAGGCAGCGGCGGCACCGCGUCCGGUCCUCGAGCGUAUGGGGCUUCGUCUUCCGCUCCGUAGGCCCGGCCGGCGCCCGCCGACGCAUUUAUUUGCAACUUGUUUUUUUCCAGGUUGACCUCGGAUCAGGUAGGGAUACCCGCUGAACUUAAGCAUAUCA
rnacentral:misc_RNA from 1 species